UUCUCUCCAGCGGCUCUCUGCUCGUCACCAGCCGCCCCGCGAGGGGCUCCCGUUGACUCUCUUCUUUCUCUCUUUCUCGUAUCUGCUCUCGAUCUGGGCACGGUGGCCAGCGGCAAGGCACGGGGGACAGACGUUUGGCGGAUCGGCUUGAGUGUCACGACGUCCGGUGGCCGGUGAGAUGCAGCAUCUAGCGACCGUGCGGGCGGCUGGCUUGGCUCGGGCGGCGAGGGAUGGCUUCUCCGGUGAACGGCGGGUCGAGGCGGGAGGCCAGUAAGGCGGCUAGAGCUCGCCUUGGCAAUGGCGGCGGCGCUCUGGCGGGCGAGCGCAGGCGGCGCAGCUCGGCACAGCGUGGGUGGAGCACCGGAUCGAAGCCGUCGUCGCCCACUCGCAGCAGCCCAUUACAACGCGCGACGCGACGUUGCUAAUCUCUCGGAGCACGAGCCCGUGCCGUCGUCGCGCGAGACGACGGCAUCGGCCGUCUCCUCGCUAAACCGUCUCGUUAAUUGU